AUUGAACGCUGGCGGCGUGCUUAACACAUGCAAGUCGAGCGGUAACAGGCGUAGCAAUACGUGCUGACGAGCGGCGAACGGGUGAGUAAUGCUUCGGAAUCUUCCUUGUAGUGGGGAAUAACCUGGGGAAACUCAGGCUAAUGCCGCAUACGAACCAUGGUUGAAAGCGGGGGAUCGCAAGACCUCGCGACAUAAGAUGAGCCGAAGUCGGAUUAGCUAGUUGGUGGGGUCAAGGCCUACCAAGGCGACGAUCCGUAGCUGGUCUGAGCGGGCGACCAGCCACGCUGGGACUGAGACACCGCUCAGACUCCGACGGGAGGCAGCAGUGGGGAAUAUGGGACAAUGGGGUGAACCCUGGUCCAGCGACGCCGCGUGUGUGAAGAAGGCCUGCGGGUUGUAAAGCACUUUUAGUGGGGACAAAAAGCCGAGGGCUAAUACCUUUCGGUCUUGAUUUAACCCAAAGAAAAAGCACCGGCUAACUCUGUGCCAGCAGCCGCCGUAAGAC
rnacentral:rRNA from 1 species